rnacentral:rRNA from 1 species
AGGGGAAUAUUGGACAAUGGGCGAAAGCCUGAUCCAGCCAUGCCGCGUGAGUGAUGAAGGCCCUAGGGUUGUAAAGCUCUUUUGUGCGGGAAGAUAAUGACGGUACCGCAAGAAUAAGCCCCGGCUAACUUCGUGCCAGCAGCCGCGGUAAUACGAAGGGGGCUAGCGUUGCUCGGAAUCACUGGGCGUAAAGGGUGCGUAGGCGGGUUUCUAAGUCAGAGGUGAAAGCCUGGAGCUCAACUCCAGAACUGCCUUUGAUACUGGAAGUCUUGAGUUCGGGAGAGGUGAGUGGAACUGCGAGGGUAGAGGUGAAAUUCGUAGAUAUUCGCAAGAACACCAGUGGCGAAGGCGGCUCACUGGCCCGAUACUGACGCUGAGGCACGAAAGCGUGGGGAGCAAACA